UACGUAGGGGGCAAGCGUUGUCCGGAUUUAUUGGGCGUAAAGAGCGUGUAGGCGGCCAGAUAGGUCCGUUGUGAAAACUGGAGGCUUAACCUCCAGCGGUCGAUGGAAACCAUUUGGCUAGAGUCCGGAAGAGGAGAGUGGAAUUCCUGGUGUAGCGGUGAAAUGCGUAGAUAUCGUAAGGAAGACCAGUGGCGAAGGCGGGUCUCUGGACAGUUCCUGACGCUGAGGCACGAAGGCCAGGGGAGCAAACGGG
rnacentral:rRNA from 1 species